GAUGAACGCUAGCGGCAGGCCUAACACAUGCAAGUCGAGGGGUAACUAGAGUGAUAGCAAUAUUACUUUGGCUAGACCGGCGCACGGGUGCGUAACACGGAUGCAACCUACCUUAUACUGGGGAAUAACUUCGAGAAAUCGGCGCUAAUACCCCAUAACAUUGCGAAGAGGCAUCUCUUUGCAAUUAAAGCUCCGGCGGUAUAAGAUGGGCAUGCGUCCAAUUAGCUAGUUGGUGAGGUAACGGCUCACCAAGGCUACGAUUGGUAGGGGUUCUGAGAGGAUGAUCCCCCACACUGGUACUGAGACACGGACCAGACUCCUACGGGAGGCAGCAGUGAGGAAUACUGCGCAAUGGACGAAAGUCUGACGCAGCCAUGCCGCGUGCAGGAUGACGGCCCUAUGGGUUGUAAACUGCUUUUGUACGGGAAUAAACCCUUCUACGUGUAGGAGGCUGAAGGUACCGUAAGAAUAAGCUCCGGCUAACUCCGUGCCAGCCGCCGCAGUAACAC
rnacentral:rRNA from 1 species